AUACAGAGGGUGCGAGCGUUAAUCGGAAUUACUGGGCGUAAAGCGCGCGUAGGCGGUUUGGUCAGUCGGAUGUGAAAGCCCCAGGCUCAACCUGGGAAUGGCAUUCGAUACUGCCUGACUAGAGUAUGGUAGAGGGAAGUGGAAUUUCCGGUGUAGCGGUGAAAUGCGUAGAUAUCGGAAGGAACACCAGUGGCGAAGGCGACUUCCUGGGCCAAUACUGACGCUAAGGUGCGAAAGCGUGGGGAGCAAACAGGAUUAGAUACCCGGGUAGUCC
rnacentral:rRNA from 1 species